rnacentral:rRNA from 1 species
GACGAACGCUGGCGGCGUGCUUAACACAUGCAAGUCGAACGGAGUGGCGAACGGGCGAGUAACACGUGGGUGACCUGCCCUGCACUUCGGGAUAAGCCCGGGAAACUGGGUCUAAUACCGGAUAGUGUGGGAUGGGCCCGCGGCCUAUCAGCUUGUGGGUGGGGUAAUGGCAUACCUAGGCGGCGACGGGUAGCCGGCCUGGGAGGGUGGACGGCCACAUUGGGACUGAGGAAGGGCCCAGUGGCCUACGGGAGGCAGCAGUGGGGAAUAUUGCACAAUGAGCGGAAGCGUGAUGCAGCGACGCCGCGUGGGGGAUGACGGCCUUCGGGUUGUAAACUCCUUUCGCCAUAGACGCGGUAGAUGGAGAAGAAGCACCGGCUAACUACGUGCCAGCAGCCGCGGUAAUAC